rnacentral:rRNA from 1 species
GAAGUUACGCUAAUACCGCAUAUUCUGUGAGCAGGAAAGCAGGGGAUCGCAAGACCUUGCGCUGAUUGAGCGGCCGAUAUCAGAUUAGCUAGUUGGUGAGGUAAAGGCUCACCAAGGCGACGAUCUGUAGCGGGUCUGAGAGGAUGAUCCGCCACACUGGGACUGAGACACGGCCCAGACUCCUACGGGAGGCAGCAGUGGGGAAUAUUGGACAAUGGGCGCAAGCCUGAUCCAGCAAUGCCGCGUGUGUGAAGAAGGCCUGCGGGUUGUAAAGCACUUUCAGUGGGGAAGAACAGAUUCGGGUCAAUACCCCGGAGCCCUGACGUUACCCACAGAAGAAGCACCGGCUAACUCCGUG